ACCUUUAAGACUGGGAUAACUUCGGGAAACCGGAGCUAAUACCGGAUAACAUGUAAGACCACAUGGUCUUACAUUAAAAGAUGGCUUCGGCUAUCACUUAUAGAUGGGCCCGCGGCGCAUUAGCUAGUUGGUGAGGUAAUGGCUCACCAAGGCGACGAUGCGUAGCCGACCUGAGAGGGUGAUCGGCCACACUGGGACUGAGACACGGCCCAGACUCCUACGGGAGGCAGCAGUAGGGAAUCUUCCGCAAUGGACGAAAGUCUGACGGAGCAACGCCGCGUGAACGAUGAAGGCUUUCGGGUCGUAAAGUUCUGUUGUUAGGGAAGAACAAGUACCAGAGUAACUGCUGGUACCUUGACGGUACCUAACCAGAAAGCCACGGCUAACUACGUGCCAGCAGCCGCGGUAAUACGUAGGUGGCAAGCGUUAUCCGGAAUUAUUGGGCGUAAAGCGCUCGCAGGCGGUCUUUUAAGUCUGAUGUGAAAGCCCACGGCUCAACCGUGGAGGGUCAUUGGAAACUGGGAGACUUGAGUGCAGAAGAGGAGAGUGGAAUUCCACGUGUAGCGGUGAAAUGCGUAGAGAUGUGGAGGAACACCAGUGGCGAAGGCGACUCUCUGGUCUGUAACUGACGCUGAGGAGCGAAAGCGUGGGGAGCGAACAGGAUUAGAUACCCUGGUAGUCCACGCCGUAAACGAUGAGUGCUAAGUGUUAGAGGGUUUCCGCCCUUUAGUGCUGCAGCUAACGCAUUAAGCACUCCGCCUGGGGAGUACGGUCGCAAGACUGAAACUCAAAGGAAUUGACGGGGGCCCGCACAAGCGGUGGAGCAUGUGGUUUAAUUCGAAGCAACGCGAAGAACCUUACCAGGUCUUGACAUCCUUAUGACUUCCCUAGAGAUAGGGCUUUCCCUUCGGGGACAUAAGUGACAGGUGGUGCAUGGUUGUCGUCAGCUCGUGUCGUGAGAUGUUGGGUUAAGUCCCGCAACGAGCGCAACCCUUGAUCUUAGUUGCCAGCAUUUAGUUGGGCACUCUAAGGUGACUGCCGGUGACAACCGGAGGAAGGUGGGGAUGACGUCAAAUCA
rnacentral:rRNA from 1 species